CCUACGGGUGGCUGCAGUGAGGAAUAUUGGUCAAUGGCCGUAAGGCUGAACCAGCCAAGUCGCGUGAAGGAAGAAGGCCCUAUGGUUUGUAAACUUCUUUUAUAGGGGACUAAAUGUAUCCACGUGUGGAUUUUUGCAUGUACCCUGUGAAUAAGCAUCGGCUAACUCCGUGCCAGCAGCCGCGGUAAUACGGAGGAUGCGACCGUUAUCCGGAUUUAUUGGGUUUAAAGGGUGAGUCGGUUGUUUUUUAAGUCAGCGGUUAAAGUUUGUGGCUUAACCAUAAAAUUGCCGUUGAAACUGGAAGACUUGAGUGUGUUUGAGGUAGGCGGAAUGCGUGGUGUAGCGGUGAAAUGCAUAGAUAUCACGCAGAACUCCGAUUGCGAAGGCAGCAUACUAGGCCAUAACUGACACUGAAGCACGAAAGCGUGGGGAUCAAACAGGAUUAGAUACCCCUGUAGUC
rnacentral:rRNA from 1 species